rnacentral:rRNA from 1 species
UACGUAGGGACCGAGCGUUGUCCGGAUUCAUUGGGCGUAAAGAGCUCGUAGGCGGUUCGUCACGUCGGGAGUGAAAACGUCGGAGCUUAACUCCGAGCCUGCUUCCGAUACGGGCAGACUAGAGGUAGGCAGGGGAGAGCGGGAACUCCUGGUGUAGCGGUGGAAUGCGCAGAGUAUCAGGAAGAACACCGGUGGCGAAGGCGGCUCUCUGGGCCUUACCUGACGCUGAGGAGCGAAAGCGUGGGUAGCGAACAGG